UUUUUUUUUUUUUUGAAAAAAAAUUGCCAAUUGAUUUUCCUGUAUUUAAGUUGAGAGACCAAAGUUCCUAUUAAAAAAAAAAAAACUAACAUCAUGGAAAAGUAUGCAUUUUGCAUUGAUAUUGAAUUUUAGACUCAUCACUAGCCAUUACAUUUUUCAUACGAUUCAUUCAAAACAAUAAACCAGAAACCCUCGCAAUAUUUUCGAGGAUUAAGCAAGUCUCAUUGUUGAAUUAGCUAGUUCGACAUACACUUUAUAUCCAGGUUAUUUUAGGAAUCCAAAAUGAUGGUGCUGCAAUUGUCCAAUCUUAUUCAUUACUGUGAGGGCUGGACACGUACGAGUUCAAGAGCUUCCCCAGCGUGCAAUUUUGUGGACUGUCGGAGCUUUCUAUAAGAUUCAUAAGAAAAAGAGGUGUAGAGACGUGGGUGUUCACAGUCCACAAGUUCUGCCGGAGCUUCCACUGCUGCCUCUGCUCUUGGUCCCAACAUGAAUGAAGCAAUUGAAACUCGAAUUGUUGCUUCUUUGCAUUGUACUCGAUGCUUCACAUUGCAAAGCCUUCCAUUGCUCCACACCUUUGGUCAUAUUUAAAGAAGCAUUUAAUCAGACAUCUCCAAGAUUGACAGAUUGCAUAUAUAUAAAACUAAUUGUUUGUAUAUAUAUAUAAAGCUACCGUAGCAACAUCUCCAAGAUUGACUAGGAGGGUGCCUGGCUCCGGAUCCACAACCACAAAUGUUCCAGACUUGUCCAUAACUUCAAGUCCGCUAACAUUUUCAUCAUCUUGAAGUAUAGUCAAGAAUCCAGAAUCUGUGUGAAUCUGAACUCCAGUGGAGCCUACAGUUUCAGGAGUGAAGUUAUACUUGUUGAUCCUAAAUUGGCAAGGCCAUCCCUCAAACAAAUCAGUUCUAAUCAAUCCCAUGCUUUGAGCCAACUUCCCAGCUAAAUCCAUGGACAGCUCAUGAACUGCUUUAGCAUACAUCUCUAUGACCUCUCUUUGAUGAGGAGAGGCAUCCAACUGGGAGCAGAAGGUAUGCACAGCUUGGGAAGAGCCCAAGUCAUAAAGACCCAAGGCCUCGUAAAGAGGAUUGGUCUGGGAGGGUGCUACAUAGCCGCUGCCUGAUAUUACAUCUGUGUUGCGCCUCUUGAUUUCCAUGGGAAGGUCUAGCAGAGAUCUCACAACGUUCUUCAUCUCCGACAUGAGAGCUGAGGGUAUAUUGUGGUUCACAAUUCUGAAACAACCCCACUCCUCGCAUGCUUUUCUCAGUCGCUCAAACUGUCCUGGAAAAUCUUGCAGAUCUAUCGUUGGAAUACCACCUUUCUCCAUCUAUAUUAUGUGAAAUUUGAUUUUGAUUACACCUCUUCUGUUCUUCCUUCUUCUUUCCUCUUCCCUAAAUGGCCGUCUCUUGCAAAAGCCACCUCCCACCUCUCCUCACCUCCUUUACGCCAUAGUCUUCCUCUUCACUUUCUUUCUGAUUGAACCCUCUCUUUCCUUCUUCGCGCUUUCUCUCUCUGUUUAGGGAUCAAAGUGCUCUGAGAAAAGAAGGGAUUUUUAUUUCUUUUUUUGGGGAAAUGACUCUUGGCUUAACUUCGGUGUGUAAUUUUCAGCUGAUUACUCUUGCAUUUUUUGUAUAAUUACGUGUUUUGGGGUUUUAUGCUGAGUUUUUGGAUCUGAAAGUUGGAGAAUUUCAGUGGAUUUUUCAAAUUUGUGGGAUUAUUGAAGGGGGAAUUCAGUGGAUUAAAGUUUGCUUAUGGUUUAGUUUUUCGUCUUUUUAGGCAAGAAAUUGGAAAUUUGUUGGUAGUUUUAUAAAUUUGGGAAUUUGAAUUUGAUGGGUGAAGGUGAGGGAAGCGAAUUCCCUCCAAAAAAAGCGGCACAAUCGGACACGCAGGUGAGCUCGGAUUUCCCUGCGAAGAAGCUAGCGAGGCAGCUGGAUUUCACACAGGGAAAUGUUGUCCUCCCAGACCAUCCUCAAUCGCAGCAGCAGCAGCAGCCUGUGACUCUGCCACUGCAGCAGAAGUCGGUUGUCGUCACUCCGCAUGGCCAACUGCAGCAGCAGCCGCAGAUGGUAGCGAUGGCAGCAGCGCCGCCGCCACAACAGCAUCCGCCAGCCAGGACUGUAAAGCCAGAAUCCCCAAAAUCAAAACCAAGACCGAAUGCUGAAUUGAAAGACGGUACUCCAAAGAGGCAAAAACAGUGCAACUGCAAACACUCACGGUGCUUGAAGUUGUAUUGUGAAUGCUUUGCAUCUGGAACAUAUUGUGAUGGUUGCAAUUGUGCAAAUUGUUAUAACAAUGUUGAAAAUGAAGCUGCUAGGCGAGAAGCUGUUGAAGCCACUUUAGAGCGGAAUCCAAAUGCAUUCAGGCCAAAAAUUGCUAGCAGUCCGCAUGGAACACGAGAUAGUCGGGAGGAGAAUGGAGAAGGAUUAGUGUUGGGAAAGCACAACAAGGGAUGUCACUGCAAGAAGUCUGGAUGCCUUAAGAAGUACUGUGAAUGUUUCCAAGCCAAUAUUCUUUGUUCUGAAAAUUGCAAAUGCAUGGAUUGUAAGAAUUUUGAAGGAAGUGAGGAGAGGCAGGCUCUCUUUCAUGGGGACCAUGCCAACAAUAUGGCAUACAUUCAACAGGCUGCUAAUGCUGCAAUAACUGGGGCUAUUGGAUCUUCUGGCUAUACAUCACCUCCAGUAUCCAAGAAGCGAAAGGGUCAGGAACUUUUAUUUGGGCCAGCAGCCAAGGAUCCCUCCUUUCACAGGCUUGGACAUUUUCAACAGGCAGUCCAUAUCAGGCCUUCUGCAUCUUCCUUUUCCUUGUCCAUCAAUCCAGUUGCUCGUGCCACUAGCACAGCAACUUUGGGCCCUUCAAAAUUCACAUACAAGUCACUCUUAGCAGACAUUAUCCAACCACAGGAUUUAAGAGAACUUUGCUCAGUUUUGGUGGUUGUGUCAGGUGAAGCUGCAAAGACACUUGCAGACCAAAGAAAUGCAACAGAAAAGCGGGUAGAUGAUCAUGCAGAAACUUCCCUUGCCUCAUCAACUCAAGACAGUUUGCAGGGCCAGAAGGAGGCUGAUGUUAAGAAAAUUACUUCCUAUGAUUGUUCCAGUGCAAACCAGGCUGAUAAAGUUGGCCCUGAUGAUUCUAGCUCAGAUGGUGCUGAUAUGCCAAAAGGAAGGCCUAUGUCUCCUGGAACUCUGGCAUUGAUGUGUGAUGAACAAGAUACGAUGUUUAUGGCAGCUGCUUCUCCCAUUGGGUUAACGGGCCAUGGAUGCAGCGCUACCUCACAGUUGCCUUGUGGACAGGGCAUGACAGAGAUUUAUGCAGAGCAGGAAAGGGUUGUUCUAACAAAGUUUCGGGAUUGCCUUAAUAGGCUCAUAACAUUUGGAGAAAUAAAAGAAACCAAGUGUUCAUCAUUAGCAAGAACUGAACUGGGGAAUCAAAGAGAUCAAUUAAGCAAUGGCACAAUGAAUUCCAGAGCUGAAUUGGGAAAUCAACAGGGACCUUAUAGCAAUGGUGUUUCCAAACAUUUUAUUCCACCUACGUCCAAGACAGCGCCAAUAGUUACUUCUAUGGUUGCCACCUCCAGUAACGAUCUUCCAAAAGUUCCAGCCCUCCCACAAAAUGAGGACAACAAACCAAUGACUUGAAAAGAGAUUGUAAAGAGAUUUUAUCUCUAAAGGCUGGCCCAAGCCCCAAGGUAUGCUUAUGAAUGAUCAAUGAUAAUUCUGGCUUUGUCCUUAAUGCAAUCCUAAGGUGGCACUGGGCCCCAUUGUUGGCACUGACUAGGAUCUGAUUUAUUCCUCAUGUCAUCAAUAUAUUUACGUAUCAGUCUUUCUGCUUCAGCCACAAAUCAAGUCAAAAUGGUGUAUUGCAGAGCCUUGCAAUUGCACAGGAUAUCAUUUAUGUUAUAACAUGGCAAUGACCAUCAUAGAUUGUAUCUUUAGAUGCUAGGAAUUUUCUUGUUCUCUACACGCUAUUAAAAACAAAGAGCAAUUUUAUGAUUUUUCAUCGAAUAUGAAACUCAGAGUUGAUCCAUGAGUAACCAGCCUAGGUUUUUUAGGUCUGUUGUGCUCCUCAUCACAUCCCCAUAAUACUUUGCCUAGCAGACCUGAUGCCACAUCAGCUGCUUGGGACUUUUCAUGGCAAAGUUCUUAGAUAUAUAGCUAAACUUCUUUAAAUGUAUAUACUUGUGGCAGGAAAAAAUAUUUAUGCUCCUUCUUGGAGGACAUUUUAUUGCUAAUUGUCCCAUUAUGUAUGUAUCUACUGAUUAUUACCUGUUUGAAAAUUUGAAUUUCAGUCCUAUUUUCAGCUACUGUUGAUACUGUAGAUAUGAGGGAAGAAAGAGAAGGAAAUGAUAAAGCUGAAUUUUCAUGAAAUAAUCCUGGCUUGAUUAUGGUACAAUGCUUUUGUUUGUACAAUUAUUGCAGUUCAUAUAUGCCUGUAGCCAUUUGACAAACUAGGCUAGGCAAAUAUGUAUUGAGAUUUAAGUAGCCAUUGAAUGGGAAUUGCAACACUCACUAAGAUCUGCC
rnacentral:misc_RNA from 1 species